UACGUAGGAGGCGAGCGUUGUCCGGAAUUACUGGGCGUAAAGAGCGCGUAGGCGGCACGGUACGACCGGUGUGAAAGCCCCCGGCUCAACUGGGGAGGGUCACCGGUAACGGCCGAGCUAUGAGUGCAGGAGAGGGAAGUGGAACUCCGGGAGUAGCGGUGAAAUGCGUAGAGACCCGGAGGAACACCAGUGGCGAAGGCGGCUUCCUGGUCUGCGACUGACGCUGUGGCGCGAAAGCUAGGGGAGCAAACGGG
rnacentral:rRNA from 1 species